rnacentral:rRNA from 1 species
GACGAACGCUGGCGGCGUGCCUAAUACAUGCAAGUAGGACGCAGUUGCGAACGGGUGAGUAACGCGUAGGUAACUGCCUAUUAGAGGGGGAUAACUCUUGGAAACGAUAGCUAAUACCGCAUACUAGUAGAUGGACCUGUGUUGUAUUAGCUAGUAGGUAGGGUAAUGGCCUACCUAGGCGACGAUACCUAGCCGACCUGGAGAGGGGGUUGGCUACGCUGGGGCGUGGAAACGGCCCAAGCUCCUACGGGAGGCAGCAGUAGGGGAACUUCGGGAAAGGGGGGAAACCUGACCGAGCAACGCCGGGGGAGGUAAGGAAGUUUUCGGAACGUAAAACUCGGUUGUUAAGGAAGCGGUACUUAACCAGAAAGGGACGGCUAACUACGUGCCAGCAGCCGCGGUAAUAC